rnacentral:rRNA from 1 species
UACGUAGGGUGCAAGCGUUGUCCGGAAUUAUUGGGCGUAAAGAGCUCAUAGGCGGUUCGUCGCGUCGGCUGUGAAAACCUGAGGCUCAACCUCAGGCCUGCAGUCGAUACGGGCGGACUUGAGUACUGCAGGGGAGACUGGAAUUCCUGGUGUAGCGGUGAAAUGCGCAGAUAUCAGGAGGAACACCGGUGGCGAAGGCGGGUCUCUGGGCAGUAACUGACGCUGAGGAGCGAAAGCGUGGGGAGCGAACAGG